UUUCUUAUAAUAAUAGUCAGUGAUCAGACAGUUGAUUCUGAAAUGCCUCCUGUGUGAGCAGCCAGUUGUUUUCUGUUUGUUAUAGAUUUCAUAGAAUCUGAGAGUUGGAAGGAACCCCAGAGUUCAAGCAGGAGUGUACUUAAGCCAGCUUGAAACUGGCUCUUUAGAGCUGAUUAAUAAAUUUUCAAUGAUCGUGUCAGAAAUUGGCAAAUGCUACAAAUCAGGGUUUGAUUUAUUUUGUUGAUUGUCUGGACUUAAGUGAUAGAGAAAAUGUUAAAAAUGUAGAUUAAACUUAAAAAUGUGCUUAUGUGUAUACUUUUCCCCCUCAAGAGCUGGUUUUUAAAUACUUACCUGCUAACUGCUGAGUCCAAUCUAUACCUGGUCAAGAAUUCUACCCAUAAUCCCCCCCAAUAAAUGGUCAUCCAUCUUUUAUGUGUACUUAGCAGAGUGCCUGGCACAUAGUAGGCAUUUAAUAAAUAUUGAUUGGUUAUUGACCUCCCAUGAGGGAGAGCCUGCUACAUCCCAAGGGCACCUGUUCCACUUUGGGACAGCCUUAAUUGUGAGGAAGUUUUUCCUUGCAUGAACCUGAAAUUUUCUUCUUUGAAACUUUCACUCCCUUCUCCUGGUUCUGCUACCUGGAUCCAGACAGAACACAUCAAAUCCAUCUUUGAUCUGACAUGCUUUCAAGUAACCGAAGUCCUCACUUCCUUCAGUCGACGCUCAUACAUCAUGGACUCCAUGCCAAGGGAAAUGCUGAUCCAGAAAACGGAAAAGGGGAAACCCUGCCCUUCUGGUGGACAAAUGAACCACCUUUACUAUGCCAAGAGUGAAGGAAAAGUCUACUUUCAUUUCGGCCGGGCCAAUGUAUCAAGGGAAGAUCAUAGGACCACUUGGUGGGAGUCUUGGUAGACAGAAAGCCCUACUAAUUUUGUUUCCUCCUUGUGGAACCAGUUCUUCAAGAAGAACUUGUGAGAAAAUGAAUCUCACCACACAAAAGAUUUCUACUCUUUGGGUCUAUUCUUGGCCUUUCCAGUUACAAGCCGUGGGAUUUAAUUUUCCUUUCUAUAGAAUGGGAAUAAGAAGCUUGCACAGUUCUACCUCCUCAAUGGUGCUGGGAGGCCCCAUGGUUAGGUCUGAUGUGGCUUUGAAAAUUAAAAUCAACACAGAAGAUAUGGAUAUUUCUUAUUUAUAGCAGCUCUUUUUGUGUUGACAAAGAAUUGGAAAUUGAGAAGGUGCCCAUCAAUUGGGGAAUGGCUGAACAAGUUGUGUUAUAUGAAAUGCAAUCAAAUACUAUUGUGCCAUAAGGAAUGACAAGCAGGUGGAUUUCAGAGAAACCUAGAAAGACCCACGUGAACUGAUGCUGAGUGAAGUGAGCAGAACCAGGACAACCUUGCACACAGUAACAGCAACACUAGGAAUGACUGUUAUUCUCAGCAACACAAUGAUCCAAGAUAAUUCCGAAGGACUUAUGAGGAAAAAUGCUAUUCACAUUCAAAGAAAGACCUGAUGGAGUCUGAAUGUAGAUAGAAGCAUAUUAUUUUCACUUUUUGUGUAUUUUUUUCUUUUGGUUUGUUUCCUCUUUUGCAACAUGAUUAAUAUGGAAAUAUGUUUUACAUGAUUGCAUAUAUAUAACCUGUAUCAAAUUGCUUUAUCAUCUUAGGGAGGGGGAAGAUGAGG
rnacentral:lncRNA from 1 species